rnacentral:lncRNA from 1 species
UGAGAUGAGAGAGAAAAUAUCUCUUAUGACAAAGGGUUUCUGAUUGUUUUUUUUCAAUUGGGACAACAGUAGGGAUGACAGAGAAAAUGUUGGAGUGAGAGAAAAUGUUAGAGUGAUAGAGAUGAAAGAGAAAGGAUUAAGAGGAAUGAGGGAGGUGAGUAAGGGUUUGGGGGUUUCUUUUUUUUUUUUUUAGUUUUGAGAAUGAAAAUUAUUUAAAUAUCCUUGACCUUAAAACUUAGAAUCCAUGAUAAAUGAGACUAUUUGUGUCUACUAUAAUCCGGUACACAUUGUUAAAACGUACCAACUA